rnacentral:rRNA from 1 species
GACGAACGCUGGCGGCGUGCUUAACACAUGCAAGUCGAACGGAAAGGCCCUGCUUUUGUGGGGUGCUCGAGUGGCGAACGGGUGAGUAACACGUGAGUAACCUGCCCUUGACUUUGGGAUAACUUCAGGAAACUGGGGCUAAUACCGGAUAGGAGCUCCUGCUGCAUGGUGGGGGUUGGAAAGUUUCGGCGGUUGGGGAUGGACUCGCGGCUUAUCAGCUUGUUGGUGGGGUAGUGGCUUACCAAGGCCUUGACGGGUAGCCGGCCUGAGAGGGUGACCGGCCACAUUGGGACUGAGAUACGGCCUAGACUCCUACGGGAGGCAGCAGUGGGGAAUAUUGCACAAUGGGCGGAAGCCUGAUGCAGCAACGCCGCGUGCGGGAUGACGGCCUUCGGGUUGUAAACCGCUUUCGCCUGUGACGAAGCGUGAGUGACGGUAAUGGGUAAAGAAGCACCGGCUAACUACGUG